rnacentral:lncRNA from 1 species
CCCUCUCCCUCCCCACCUCCCAGCCCGCCGGGUGUAAUCGUCCCUCUUCCGGAGAUGAACGUGAAGCGACGUGGAAACCCUUCCACCAAAAUGAGCUGUGAUAUCCUUUUGAUGGCUAUAAUUUAUUCCAAAUCGUCCCUGGACUGAAACGAUCAAUUAGCAGCCCGAAACGCACUGUGAAGUAAAUUGUCACACUCUCUAUUACAGGAUGGUUAUCAUAUAUUUAUAAGGUGUGUUUUCUGCAAUCAGAACCAACAAGGUGUUGAGCGAUCAGUCAUAAACGCACUUCUUCAAAAAAAGAGAGGGAGAAAAGCUUCAGUAUUGUAUGGCAGCGGAGAAAAAUCCUUAUGACAGUUAUCCCUCCCUCCCUAGUGAUGCUUCCUCUGGAAACUGGAAAGAGCAGUGAGGGCUCUGCACCGACUUCUCUCAGACACUCACAGCCCCGGAGCAGUGGGGGCUGUGAACUAGCAGGAGAAUGGUAGUCCUCAGAGGAGAGGUUUCCGUACUGUGUAAGCACAGA